GAGCCCUCCUCGCCGAGGGAGGCGGGGUGGGAGGCUCCCGAGAAUAGUUGGGAGCUCUCGCUUUCCCCUGACCAGCCCCCGGGCUGCUGAGAAGUUUGGCUCUAACUGGGAAGUGCCGGACCUGAUUUAAAGAGACAGGCUCUCAAGAAGGGAGCUUUCCUGGCCUUGGUUUGAAUUAUUCAGGUUGGAGACGCUGACAUUUGAUCCUCAGGCCGUUCCAGUAUCUGCAGAAUGGAACCCCAGGGCCACAUGCAUGCUAGAUCAUUAGCUUGGACAAUUCAAUGCAAGAUGAUAUGUAAUGAUGGUGAUGUGUAACAGGAUUAAGUUCAACUGAAAACUUUGCUGUGAAAUGCACAAAGAAAUACAUGGGCACAAAUCUUCAGAAAUAGAGAAAGAUAAGCAGAAAGUUACAGAUAUAAGGACUGAAAAAGACCGCAGUUACAGACCUGUGGAUGCAGAUACUCUUGUCUCAGAAGGAUGCUGAUACAACCUUUCUCCCCAAAGAGAGACUGGACAACCAACUAUCUUAUUCCAAAGGAUAACUUUCAUGUGAACACUGGUUUCACACCCAGGUGGAGCCAGAAAUGACAGUGAUGGGAGGGGGAGGUCAAGAAUCAGUAGCCAAUCAGAGAAGGAGGCAGUAUGACUUUCAAUGGCCCUUUCAUCUGGAGUGACAUUGCAUCAGUGUACGGUAGCCUGCACCAGGCUCUGUGGCUGAAGGCGACCAAAGUAUGG
ensembl:lncRNA